rnacentral:rRNA from 1 species
UACGUAGGGGGCAAGCGUUGUCCGGAUUUAUUGGGCGUAAAGAGCGUGUAGGCGGCUUGGUAGGUCCGCUGUGAAAACUCGAGGCUCAACCUCGAGAUGUCGGCGGAAACCACUUGGCUAGAGUCCGGAAGAGGAGGGUGGAAUUCCUGGUGUAGCGGUGAAAUGCGCAGAUAUCAGGAAGAACACCUAUGGCGAAGGCAGCUCUCUGGGACGGUACUGACGCUGAGACGCGAAAGCGUGGGGAGCGAACAGG